CCUGAGAGGAGUCCUUUCCUUCCUUCUUUUCCUUCCUCAUUUCUUUCUUUCUUCCUUCCUUCCUUCCUUCUUUGUCUUUCUUGCUUUCUUUUCUUUUUUCUUUCUGUCUCCCUUUCUUUUUUCCUUCCUUCUUCCUUUUUUCCUUCUUUCUUUAUUUCCCUCUCUUUCCUUCCUUUUUUCCUUCUUUCUUCCUCUUCCUUCCUUCCUUUCCUUCUUUCCUUUCCUUUUAUUCUUUCUUUCUUUCCUUCCUUCAUCCUUUCAUUCUUCCUUCUUUCUGUCUUUUUUCUCUGUCUCUUUCCUUCCUUAUUUCUUUCUUCCUUUCCUUCUUUUUCUCUUCCUUUCUCUCUUUCCUUCCUUUUUUCUUUCCUUCUUUCUUUUUUCUUCCUUCCUUCCUUCCCUCCCUCCCUCCAUUCCUUGCUUCCUUCCUUUUCCCCUUCUUUCUUUCCUUGUUUCUUUCUCUCACUCUUUCUUUUCUUCUUUUUCUCUCACUUUUUCUUUCCUUCCUUUUUCUUUCCUUCCCUCCCUCCCUUCUUUCUUUCUUUCUUUCUGUCUUUCUCUCUCUUAAUUUUCUUUUUUCCUUCCUUUUUAUUCCUUCCUUCUUUUUUCUUUCCUUCUUUCCUUCCUUCUUUCUCUCUUUUCCUUUCUUCCUUCCUUCCUUUCUCUUUCUUUCUUUCUUUCUUUCUUUCUUUCUUUCUUUCUUUCUUUCUUUCUUUCAUCCUGCCUACUUUCUUUUCUUCUUGCUUUCUUACUUUCCUUCUUUUGUUUUUUUUCGUGCUUUCUCUCUCUCUAUUUCUUUCCUUCCUUUUUUCAUUUUUUAUUUCCAUCGUG
rnacentral:lncRNA from 1 species